GUGAGGAAUAUUGGUCAAUGGGCGAGAGCCUGAACCAGCCAAGUCGCGUGAAGGAUGAAGGUUUUAUGAAUUGUAAACUUCUUUUGCAGGGGAAUAAAGUACGGUACGUGUACCGUUUUGUAUGUACUCUGCGAAUAAGGAUCGGCUAACUCCGUGCCAGCAGCCGCGGUAAUACGGAGGAUCCAAGCGUUAUCCGGAUUUAUUGGGUUUAAAGGGUGCGCAGGCGGGUUGAUAAGUCAGCGGUGAAAGUUUGCAGCUUAACUGUAAAAUUGCCGUUGAAACUGUCGAUCUUGAGUGCAAAUGAGGUAAGAGGAAUGUGUUGUGUAGCGGUGAAAUGCUUAGAUAUAACACAGAACACCGAUUGCGAAGGCAGCUUACUGGGAUGCAACUGACGCUCAUGCACGAAAGCGUGAGGAUCAAACAGGAUUAGAAACCCCGGUAGUCC
rnacentral:rRNA from 1 species